CGAACCAUCUAGUAGCUGGUUCCCUCCGAAGUUUCCCUCAGGAUAGCUGGCUCUCGGGAAGAGACGAGUCUCAUCCGGUAGAGCGAAUGAUUAGAGGUGAUGGGGUCGAAACGACUUCAACCUAUUCUCAAACUCCCAAUAGAUGAGAGCCCCGGCUUGCUUGAAAGUGAAGCCGCGGGACUCGGAUCAGAGGGCCAAGUGGGCCAAUUUUGGUAAGCAGAACUGGCGCUGUGGGAUGAACCAAACGCAGAGUUAAGGCGCCUGAUUCGACGCUCAUCCGAAACCAUGAAAGGCGUUGGUUGCUUAAGACAGCAGGACGGUGGCCAUGGAAGUCGGAAUCCGCUAAGGAGUGUGUAACAACUCACCUGCCGAAG
rnacentral:rRNA from 1 species